rnacentral:rRNA from 1 species
UGAACCUCGCUUGCGGGGGGAUUAGUGGCGAACGGGUGAGUAACACGUGAGUAACCUGCCCUUAACUCUGGGAUAAGCCUUGGAAACGGGGUCUAAUACUGGAUAUUGACUUUACCUCGCAUGGGGUUUGGUUGAAAGAUUUAUUGGUUUUGGAUGGACUCGCGGCCUAUCAGCUUGUUGGUGAGGUAAUGGCUCACCAAGGCGACGACGGGUAGCCGGCCUGAGAGGGUGACCGGCCACACUGGGACUGAGACACGGCCCAGACUCCUACGGGAGGCAGCAGUGGGGAAUAUUGCACAAUGGGCGAAAGCCUGAUGCAGCGACGCCGCGUGAGGGAUGACGGCCUUCGGGUUGUAAACCUCUUUCAGUAGGGAACAAGGCCAGCAUUUUUGUUGGUUGAGGGUACUUGCAGAAGAAGCGCCGGCUAACUACGUGCCAGCAGCCGCGGUAAUACGUAGGGCGCAAGCGUUAUCCGGAAUUAUUGGGCGUAAAGAGCUCGUAGGCGGUUUGUCGCGUCUGCCGUGAAAGUCCGGGGCUCAACUCCGGAUCUGCGGUGGGUACGGGCAGACUAGAGUGAUGUAGGGGAGACUGGAAUUCCUGGUGUAGCGGUGAAAUGCGCAGAUAUCAGGAGGAACACCGAUGGCGAAGGCAGGUCUCUGGGCAUUAACUGACGCUGAGGAGCGAAAGCAUGGGGAGCGAACAGGAUUAGAUACCCUGGUAGUCCAUGCCGUAAACGUUGGGCACUAGGUGUGGGGGACAUUCCACGUUUUCCGCGCCGUAGCUAACGCAUUAAGUGCCCCGCCUGGGGAGUACGGCCGCAAGGCUAAAACUCAAAGGAAUUGACGGGGGCCCGCACAAGCGGCGGAGCAUGCGGAUUAAUUCGAUGCAACGCGAAGAACCUUACCAAGGCUUGACAUGAACUGGAAAUACCUGGAAACAGGUGCCCCGCUUGCGGUCGGUUUACAGGUGGUGCAUGGUUGUCGUCAGCUCGUGUCGUGAGAUGUUGGGUUAAGUCCCGCAACGAGCGCAACCCUCGUUCUAUGUUGCCAGCACGUGAUGGUGGGGACUCAUAGGAGACUGCCGGGGUCAACUCGGAGGAAGGUGAGGACGACGUCAAAUCAUCAUGCCCCUUAUGUCUUGGGCUUCACGCAUGCUACAAUGGCCGGUACAAUGGGUUGCGAUACUGUGAGGUGGAGCUAAUCCCAAAAAGCCGGUCUCAGUUCGGAUUGGGGUCUGCAACUCGACCCCAUGAAGUCGGAGUCGCUAGUAAUCGCAGAUCAGCAACGCUGCGGUGAAUACGUUCCCGGGCCUUGUACACACCGCCCGUCAAGUCACGAAAGUUGGUAACACCCGAAGCCGGUGGCCUAACCCCC